rnacentral:tRNA from 1 species
GGGGUUGUGGCUUAGCGGUAGAGUGCGCAUCUAGCAUGUGCGAGGCUGUGGGUUCGACCUUCAGCACCA